rnacentral:rRNA from 1 species
ACGUAGGGUGCGAGCGUUAAUCGGAAUUACUGGACGUAAAGCGUGCGCAGGCGGUUGUGUAAGACAGGUGUGAAAUCCCCGGGCUUAACCUGGGAACGGCGCUUGUGACUGCACGGCUAGAGUACGGCAGAGGGGGGUGGAAUUCCACGUGUAGCAGUGAAAUGCGUAGAGAUGUGGAGGAACACCGAUGGCGAAGGCAGCCCCCUGGGCCAGUACUGACGCUCAUGCACGAAAGUGUGGGGAGCAAACAG